GAGGGGAGUUCUAGCUCAAACCAGGGCACAAAGGUGGGUGACUUAUUGAUGGACCCAGGAAUGCAAAGGUCUCUAUGAUUUUAGCUGAGUCUUCCUAGGGACCAUCCAGCUUCCUGGUGAGGUAUAUGACAUGGGGGUCUUAGCUCUUGGAAGAGCUUUAGAGACUCUAGAAAGAAGGAAGGACAAAGGCUUCUGUCUUUCUGAAUGCAGACUCUCCACAGCACCGGACAAUUGCGCAGUGUUGAAGUCUCAUGCUGGUCUGUAAAGCCAGGCCAGAAGAGGAACUGGGAAUAAUUAGGAUGGGAGAUUACAUCCAACUUACAGGUGGCACCCAGUAACAAAGAAAAUCAGCAAAGCACACAGCUGGCUAAGGUGAUGCACAGACCAGAAACCCUUGACAAGGACAACCGUGACAUUCGUUGAGCCAUAGCAUCUGGUACUGCAGUUUGGGAUAUGGCAGAUCAAAGCCCAGAAACCUCCUUCCAACCCCUUCUGAGGAAUCCUAGAGAUCUCCAGAAGCACCCUGUCAGUUGGUAAAAGACUCCAGACAUAAAGGACUUGGUAAAGAGCCACACCCAGCUCCCUUCCUCCUCCGUGUAAACCCUCAGCCUGCUUUUCACUAGACCCACUGCCCAGCUUUGUGCAAAACCUGGACACUGCUCAUCUCUGUGGCUGGGUGAGUGCCACCUCCUGGGGAGUAUGAGAGAAUAAAGAACAAGAGGAGCAGAAGCAAGAAGACCUUAUUUCAAGGCCCAGCCCUGCUACUCACCCACUUGACAAGGUUGUCUGUUCAAUUUUCUUGAUGGAGUCAAGAGAAGCACCUGCAACCAAAAAUGCUCUUUUGGAGCAUUUUUAAUUUUUAU
rnacentral:lncRNA from 10 species